ensembl:lincRNA Gm37406 predicted gene, 37406
AUCUCAGCCUGUGGAGGGAAGAGGGCAGGGAGACAUCUGGAGCAGGGCCCUGGAGAAGCAAGAGUGGAAUCUCAUUUAUAGGAUUAAUCCUCUAUAAAGAAGACCCGAGGGAGCUUCCUUCCACUUCUACCACAGUAGGCCUCUAGUGCCUGCCAGGGACAGCAAUGCCAAGGGAGGCCUGAGAGGCAGACAGCUGACAGGCACAGUGGGAUAUUGGCCUCACAUCAGUUCUGUUCCAAUUAGUCAUACUUUGUGGGUAUUUUAACUGAAAAAUAUUGUUAUUAAUCUAAAAGCACAAGGAAAAUGAGAUAUUUAUUGGCAAAGAUCACUGACUGGAUGGUGUGCCCACUCAACGUCCAGAAGAAGAUACUCUGAUCAAUGUUGAUUUAAAGUGACUGAGGAAUGCUUGCUAUGUUUUUCCUCCUGUGAAUUCACAUCGACAAAGCAUCUCACGGACCCAAACCUUUUAAAGUCAUUAAAAGAGUUCAGUUGAAAGAUUA